GGAAGUUAAGAAACUGUUUCUUAACUUUUAACUAAAAGAACUGAAAACCGGUUUUUAAAUAAGAACUUUAAGAACUGGUUCUUAACUUUUUUUAGUUAAAAGUUAAGAAACAAUUUUUUAACUUCU
rnacentral:pre_miRNA from 1 species